UCCCUGGUGGCUCAGUGGUAAAGCAUCUGCCUGCCAGUGCAGGAGACAUGGGUUCCAUCCUUGGUCAGGGAG
rfam:TPA: Bos taurus chromosome 14, whole genome shotgun sequence.